CAGGGCCGAGAGGGUCCAAAUCCCAGGUCUCAGACUGGAGUGCUCGGCGGAGCGGGACUGGGCGAGUAGCGAAGAGGAGUCAGAGGCUAGUCAAGUGAAGCAGUGGGAGUGGAUAUGAAAUAAAGAAAUCUGCAACUGGUUGUGAUCAAUUAGUUGUAAACACUACUGCACUUGGACCAACCUCUUCCUUUUCCUGACUGCAUAGGAAGGAUGGAAUGUAUUUCCUUCCUUCUUCUGGGAGUGUUUGAAGAUUAGACUCUCCUUGACCAUGAAUGAAGAGCAACCAGUUUUUUAGUGUACAGUGAUUUAGCUUCUGGGUCUAGAGUGUAGAUAUCUCGGGCACUGUGAAAGCACAGGAGAAAAAGUUUUUAUUUUGGUGGGGCUUUGUGACUGAGUUCUGGCCAAUGGAACCACUUGGAGGCCUGGCCCAGAACAUCUGCCUGUGGAUUCUCUCAUCUGGCAACUGGAUGCCAACACCAAGGGUGAUUUUGGA